CAAAUCACGGGUGAUGGGGUUCCACCUUUAACCGCUCAAAGUCUUUUUGAGAUGAUGGCUCCUGCUAGGUG
rnacentral:ncRNA from 2 species